GUCCUUCGGGAUGGCUCAGUUGAUUUGGAGGGUGGUUAUCCACACGGAUGUGUCACAACCCAAAAACAGAUGUGAUGACACUCGUCUUAUCCUACCAAGACAAGUCAGCCUAAAACUCAACCAUUACAAUAAAAUGCGGAAAUUUUAUAAUCAACUCGAAAAUACCCCCAAAAUCUGGUUGUCACGUAUACAAGCCUCUAAAGUAUUACAAUUGAUUCAAAAGAAAAACACAAGUCUCAAAUGACCUUAUUUCUAGAAUAGGACAAGAUCAUAAAUAAGAGUAUGAAGGUCCGCUGAAAUGACAAGCAGUUACCUCACAAACCUCCACAAGCAGCCUCAGACAAGGAGAAAAGAAAAUAUCACAAAGGUCCGGGCUAGUAACCUACAAAAAAAAAUGUAGUAGCAAGGGGUGAGUACCAAACCACACGGUACUCAGCAAGUAAACCUCUAAACACAAGCUAAGGGGAUAGAAUACGGAUACUCCUUACACCCCAACCGAACCUCCACAACUACAACCUGCAUAAAACCAGCUCAACCUAACAGUUCACAAUUUACAAGCGCAUAUCUCAACAACAACAUUCUAACAAUCACAUAUUCUCAACAACAAGCUCAAUAUUCAUCAAUUACAACCUUCACAACUACAACAUGCUUAAAACCAGCCCAACCUAACAGUUCAUAAUUCACAUAGCACACAGCUCAACAACAACACUCUAACAAUUACAUAUCCUCAACAACAAGUUCAAUAUUCAUCAAUCAAAGUUCCACAGAAAGGCACUCACAAGAUCAGCAAAACACAAUAUCAAGUUCACUAAUGAUAAUUAUGUGCAAUGCAAUGUCAAGUAUAGUGAUGCAUGUCUGACCUAGUGAUACACACCCGUUGUCUCUCAGUUCGAGAUCCAUGGGGAACAAAUCUGUCCAUGCAUCCAUCGCGGCGCGCAAUAUGACCCUUGAUAAUAGCAACCAUCGCGGCGUGCGAUACGUCCCUCGAAAUAUAGUAUACAUCGCGGCGCGCGAUGCGUUUCUCGAAAUGGUACAUCCUCUUUAAUUUCUUAUUCUCUCUCAAUUCAGAUAACACUUGUCGCAACUAUGUCUUAGAACAAUGCAAAUGACAUGUUUACACAAAUAAUGAGAAGAUGGCCAUUUUCAUAACAUUGUACAAUUCACAACAACACAAUCAUGAUACAACAUCAACAAUGAUUCAACAAGCCUUUCAAACCAUUCUCAACACAUCACACACAAAUAAUUAAUCACAUUGCCUUUUUAUUACCCCUUUUUCAUCAUUAGAAUUAAUUAAUGUGGGCAAGUCAACUCAUCACCACGUCGCAUUACCCGCAAACACAUAUUACAAGGAAAUACACGAAUUUCAUACACUUAACAAGGAUUUAGAAAUCCACUUGCCUCAAAUAAUCGAACAAUCACUACGAGACUUGAGCCUUCCCUUUUCGUUGUACUUCCAACUCAAAGCAAUCUAUUCACAUUAAUAAUCACAACAAGAUUUUGAAACUAACAACGCCCAUAUUACUAUAGGUCUAGCCUAGACCCAAAAACCCACUCAAUUUAUAAUCCAGUUCCUAAUCUUGGUGCCAAUUAAUAUAUCAACUUUCAUAAUUUUUUUCCAAAUUUCAAGCCUAGGAUUAAAUCUUCAUUCCUCCAAAUAACCUAACAUUAAUAAUAUUCAUAAAAAUGUAAUACACUUAAUAUUUAAUUACCUAUUUCAAUAUAGUAAAACUUGAAUUAUAAGAAGGAUCCGUAAAUAAAUUAAAUUUCAUCGAGGAAUACAGUGUUACAAAAAUAACCAGCUCAUUCGCUGGGCACCACCAACUGCAAACAAAAUUAUCACUUCCUCAUUCUAUACCCACUGAACAACUUAGCUUUUAAUAUCAUAUUCCACAUCACCAAGGUCUUGCAUACAUAAACCCACCAACAUGACACACCCACCAAUAAGAAUAACGAUCUUAAGCAAAUAUUAAAACUAAUUUGUUACCUCUAACAUAUAGUAAUAAUAAAUUAACAAAAUGUAACCUUUAUGCAUAUACUCAGUUCAUUAUUUAAAGGCGUACCUAUCUGAAACAUGAAGUACGGCCGCUGUUUUUCCUCUCUUGUUCAUCCGCCUAGGUAAGUUUCUGCCUUCCUUUCUUUUCUAAAUUAAUUAUUUAUUAAAAAGUGACAAAUUCA
rnacentral:lncRNA from 1 species